rnacentral:rRNA from 1 species
UACGUAGGGUGCAAGCGUUGUCCGGAAUUAUUGGGCGUAAAGAGCUCGUAGGCGGUUUGUCGCGUCUGCUGUGAAAACCCGGGGCUUAACCCUGGGCUUGCAGUGGAUACGGGCAGACUAGAGUUCGGUAGGGGAGACUGGAAUUCCUGGUGUAGCGGUGAAAUGCGUAGAUAUCAGGAGGAACACCGGUGGUGUAGACGGCUUUCUGGACCAGUACUGACGCUGAGAGACGAAAGCGUGGGGAGCAAACAGG